AUUCCGGAGAGGGAGCCUGAGAAACAGCUACCACUUCCACGGAAGGCAGCAGGCGCGCAAAUUGUCCAAUCCCAACACACUGGGGAGACAGUGAAAAGAAAUAUCAAUGCAGGGCUUUUCAGCUUUGCAAUUGGAAUGAGUUUAACCCAAAUCCCUUUACAAGUAUCAAUUGGAGGGCAAGUCUGGUGCCAGCAGCCACGGUAAUUCCAGCUCCAAUAGCGUAUAUUAAAGUUGUUGCAGUUAAAACGCUCGUAGUUGAAAUUCUGCUAGUGAGAACGGGUCAUCUCUUUGAGCUUGUACCUGUUGUCAUUGGCAUUAAUCCGAUCCAUUCAGCGGGUCAAACCGUUGGAUAUUCGGAGCAGUUACUUUGAGAAAAUUAGAGUGUUUCAAGCAGGCGUAAUGCCU
rnacentral:rRNA from 1 species